UUUUAUGGAGAGUUUGAUCCUGGCUCAGGAUGAACGCUGGCGGCGUGCCUAAUACAUGCAAGUCGAGCGAACGGACGAGAAGCUUGCUUCUCUGAUGUUAGCGGCGGACGGGUGAGUAACACGUGGAUAACCUACCUAUAAGACUGGGAUAACUUCGGGAAACCGGAGCUAAUACCGGAUAAUAUUUUGAACCGCAUGGUUCAAAAGUGAAAGACGGUCUUGCUGUCACUUAUAGAUGGAUCCGCGCUGCAUUAGCUAGUUGGUAAGGUAACGGCUUACCAAGGCAACGAUGCAUAGCCGACCUGAGAGGGUGAUCGGCCACACUGGAACUGAGACACGGUCCAGACUCCUACGGGAGGCAGCAGUAGGGAAUCUUCCGCAAUGGGCGAAAGCCUGACGGAGCAACGCCGCGUGAGUGAUGAAGGUCUUCGGAUCGUAAAACUCUGUUAUUAGGGAAGAACAUAUGUGUAAGUAACUGUGCACAUCUUGACGGUA
rnacentral:rRNA from 1 species